rnacentral:rRNA from 1 species
UACGAAGGGGGCUAGCGUUGCUCGGAAUCACUGGGCGUAAAGCGCACGUAGGCGGGUCGCUAAGUCGGGGGUGAAAUCCUGGAGCUCAACUCCAGAACUGCCUUUGAUACUGAAGAUCUUGAGUUCGGGAGAGGUGAGUGGAACUGCGAGUGUAGAGGUGAAAUUCGUAGAUAUUCGCAAGAACACCAGUGGCGAAGGCGGCUCACUGGCCCGAUACUGACGCUGAGGCACGAAAGCGUGGGGAGCAAACAGG